ACUGGGAUUAGAUACCCCACUAUGCCCAGCCAUAAACUUUUAUUUACACCACAAAUCGCCAGGGAACUACAAGCUAAGCUUAAAACCCAAAGGACUUGACGGUACCCCAUAUCCCCCUAGAGGAGCCUGUCCUACAAUCGAUAAUCCACGUUUAACCUCACCAUUUUUAGUAAAUCAGCCUGUAUACCUCCGUCGUCAGCUUACCACGUGAGCGUCCAUUAGUGAGCCAAAUGUUACUCCACCCACACGUCAGGUCAAGGUGCAGCAAAUGAAAUGGGAAGAGAUGGGCUACACUUUCUAUAUUAGAAAAAACGAAAAACUAUUUAUGAAACCUAGUUAGAAGGCGGAUUUAGCAGUAAAAAGGAAUUAGCAUGUCCAUUUUAACCCGGCACUGGGGUGUGUACACACCGCCCGUCA
rnacentral:rRNA from 1 species